rnacentral:lncRNA from 1 species
GGGCAGAAAUAAUAAUAACCUUAAAUAAUAAAAUGUGUAUUAUUUUACCCUCCACUAAAUGGUAUUUCUCAACCAAACAACAACUAGGCUAAACGAAACACCUACACCUGAACGUUUGUGGUGUGUGUCUGUGAGUCUGUGUGUGUGACUGUUGGACAUGCUCACUUAAUCAGAGUCACAGUUGUGACAGGGGUACAGGCUUGGUGGGCCCAUAAUUUGCAUUCCCAGCACUGCACGCAGACCUCAUUGGAAUUGUUAAAGUGCUCCAUGCACACGCGUUUUCCUCGUUGGAGGAAUCUGAAUCUUCUGGUUCAAUCUGCUUUGUUUUGUCUUUUUUCUUAGGCAGGACUGUUUUUUGUUGUUGUUCAGUGUGGUUUGUCUUGGCUUGCUUCUUUCCAGCUGUUGUUGUAGGCAGGACAAUUUUUAUUUUUGUCUUCUGAGUGCUUGACUCUUUAUGCUCUUCUUCCAGUGCCUGCGUGACGGGUGUAUCUGUCAAAAUCACAGUUUUUCUCCUCUUCCUAAUCCUUGUUGUAAUUUUCCUGAACCCUGCUUUUGGGAAGGGGCGUACAACUGGGUUGAAAUCAGAAGAGUAAUCAGGUGUUUCCCAGCCACAGCCUGAUACAUGUGGGGAGGUGCCCUGUGAAGUGACUGGAGAGGUGGCCUGGGAGGCAGCUGGAAAGGUGGCCUGGAAGGCAGUUGGAGAGGUGGCCUGGAAGGCAGUUGGAGAGGUGGCCUGAAUAGCUGUGGGCACAGUGGGCAUAAUGGCCUGAGAAGUGUCUGAAGAGGUAACCUGGGAGGCAGCUGGCAAGACCAGUGUGUCUGCUGGAGCAGGAGGAUCAGUGACAAGUGAGGGUGCAAUGUCACAUCCCUUAAAUAUAUCAGGAUUGUAUGGCCAAAUGCCAGCACACCUGAACCCAGCCUGUACAUUGGUGGGUGUUGUGGCACCUGUUUCGACAAGGCCUGGAAUGUCAUUUAUGGUCAGUUGGAGAGGUGGCCUGGAAGGCAGCUGAAAAAGUGGCCUGGGAGGCAGCUGGCGAGAUGGCCUGGAAGGCAGUUGGAGAGGUGGCCUGGAAGGAAGUUUGAGAGGUGGCCUGGGAGGCAGCUGGAGAGGUGGCCUGGAAGGCAGUUGGAGAGGUGGCCUGGAAGGAAGUUGGAGAGGUGGCCUGGAAGGAAGUUUGAGAGGUGGCCUGGGAGGCAGCUGGAGAGGUGGCCUGGGAGGCAGCUGGAGCUGUGGCCUGGAAGGAAGUUGGAGAGGUGGCCUGGAAGGCAGUUGGAGAGACGGCCUUGAAGGCAGUUGGAGCUGUGGCCUGGAAGGAAGUUGGAGAGGUGGCCUGGAAGGCAGUUGGAGAGACGGCCUGGAAGGCAGUUGGAGCUGUGGCCUGGAAGGAAGUUGGAGAGGUGGCCUGGAAGGCAGUUGGAGAGACGGCCUGGAAGGCAGUUGGAGCUGUGGCCUGGAAGGAAGUUGGAGAGGUGGCCUGGAAGGAAGUUGGAGAGGUGGCCUGGAUAGCUGUGGGCACAGUGGCCUGAGAAGUGUCUGAAGAGGUGACCUGGGAGGCAGCUGGAAAGACCAGUGUGUCAGCUGGAGCAGGGGUCAUGGUCUUUCCGGGCUUCAUCCUCAAACAGG